UACGUAGGGUGCAAGCGUUUGUCCGGAAUUAUUGGGCGUAAAGGGCUCGUAGGCGGUUCGUCACGUCGGGAGUGAAACUCGGAGCUUAACUCCGAGCCUGCUCCGAUACGGGCAGACUAGAGGUAGGCAGGGGAGAGCGGAACUCCUGGUGUAGCGGUGAAAUGCGCAGAUAUCAGGAGGAACACCGGUGGCGAAGGCGGGUCUCUGGGCCGAAUACUGACGCUGAGGAGCGAAAGCGUGGGGAGCGAACAGG
rnacentral:rRNA from 1 species